CUGCGUUCCAUUUUGGCUCCACAUGGCUGAAGUGUUUGAAAGUUUCUGGCAAAGAGAGUCCACUCUACUACUUUGUCAACCCUGUAGCAGGAAGGUUGGCGCGGAUGUGGCAGUUUCUCACAAAAUCCUCCAGAGUUCAGCAGAUAUUAUAAGCACAAGGGGAACUCUUCAGAAAACUAUAGCAGUCUGAAAGGGAUGCUUUCACAGACUGAGCCCACGAGCUUCCAGAAACGACUACUGACAGCUAAACUGAGGCUGCUCUACUGACCCGGUGAUAACAUCAGCAUGUUACAGUGGAUCCUGGAUAAUAAUGUGGCUUGAUUGAGGCUUGUUUGGAGAGUAAUCUGAGCCCACAGAGCUCCUUCUCUUCUGGGGGAAAGGGCGACAGAGAGCUGUCAAACAGCUUUUAAAUAAGGACGUUUAGCUUCACGUUAAAGCUCAGUUCUGGCUCCACACAGGGGAGAGGACUGAAGGGCUGAAGGAUGCACCAACACAUGCUUUGAUUAAUCUUCAGGAGUUAAUAAAUGCUGGUGUUUUAUGUCAGUUUAUUGUCAAUGCACUGUCUGAAUACUUAACCCACUCAACCAUUCACCAUGUUCGUAACAGAGUCAUUUCUUGUUUUCUUUUCGGUCAUUUUUUUUUACUUUUUGCAGACGCUUUCAUUUCCCCCAGCCUGUUUAGUUCAAGAAACUACCAUAUUUAUUCUUAUUGCUUAAUUGAUCGAUUUAUUUUGGUUGCUGCACCAUGAACCUCGACGUUCUCCAGGCCUCGAUAUGUAUCCAUGCAAGGGGAGCUUGUUUUGUAUGGUCAGUAAUUGAUUUAAAAAAAAAAGACCAAAGGAAAAAAGUUUGGGACAUGCAAAAGCUCAGCAGCUUACUGUUGCUGCAACCUCUGAACAUGCUCUGUGUCCCAAGAGAAGACUAUGUGCUUUUCUGCAUUAGAGUAGCUGACCUGGUGACAUACAGUGAGGUGGAACCGGACUAUAUAAGUUUCAGCCUCGCUAAUUAUUGUGAUCGUCUAAAGAAGUGCCUCGCAAGGAAGUAGGAUAGGCACUAAACAACGUGACAUAUUAUCUUUAGUCCUUAGAUUCACGGUUAAGUGUCCAUGUAUAGGCUAUACAAAAAUAAAACUGUUGCUUGAUUCAUGAGAAAUAUUCCCUUUACUGGAAAGCUACAAUAAACAGCUCCUUUAUAUCAAAAAGUGUGAAUACUUUCACAGAAGAAAUGUGUGUUGCAAACUGUAAAAGUGGCCUGUGGGAUCAUUUCUGUGGAACAAAAAUGGACGCCACUUCAAUUUUUCAAGUCUUCAAAUUAAAUAUGUGUUCCUCCAGCUUUGUUUUUCUUUUCACUUGUCCUGGAUUGAGCUGUCUCCUUUUAUCUCGCUGCCAUGAUUUGCCUAAUCUGCUCAUCUUGUUUCAU